AAAGAAGGUUCGCCACCGGGUGCCUUCUGGGAAUGAAACCGGCAUACUAUGCUCGAGUUAUAAGAAGAGCGGUGUAGCGAUCGCAUCGGCUAGUCGCUAAAGAGUUUUGCCGCCGCGAAGAACGGGAACCAACUCGACAGAACAGAAAUAUAUUACUCUAGAAACCUAUCAGACGUUUUUGGAACACUUGCGAGUUGCUAUGGAUACGCAGCAGCUUGAUGGCGAAAAGCGGAGGAGAGAGGUUAGAAGACUGUCAGACAUAAUUCGGACGCUUAGGAAUCGCUACGCUCGUAUGGGAACGUGAUGGGGAAGAAUGGAAAAACAUUGGAUAACCUAGAGAGGCUGCUACCAGUAUUCUGAAACACCUACGGAAGUUGGCCGAUGAUGAAGAAAGACGGAGUGGACCGAAGGAAGAGUAACGUUUGAUGUAGAGACCUGUAGGAAAUGUUUGCAGCGCUUACGAAUCUCUAUAGCUGCACGGAAUCGUGAUAAAGAAUGGAAGAACGUAUAAGAGAACUAUGAGAAAUAUUUGGAAUAGCUAUGGAUACGUUCGAUGACGAAUAACGGAGAAAUGGACCAAGGGAAGAGUAACGUAUAGUUUAGAGCUGCAACAAAAACAUUCGUAACACCUACGAAUCUUUAUGGUUGCAUAAGAUCGUAUUGAAGAAUGGAAGAGCGAAUGGAGGGAAGAAGAGUGGAUAAUCUAGAACAUAAUCAGAGACCUUUGGAACGUAAUAAAUUGUAUCUAUGGAUACAUAGGCGUUUGAUGACAAAGAACGAACCGAGAGAACAGUUUAGGGAUCAGUUAAGCAUAUUCGAUGCAUCUACAAAUCUCUAUGAGUGCGGAGGAAGAAUCUGUCUCAAACGUUUGAAAACGUGUACGUACGGAUACGCAGAACCUCAAGGACGAAGAACUAAAGUGUGAACGAAGGGGAUGCUGCAAUCGGACAUCUACCAAUCUUCAUACUUAGAAAGAAUCGUAAUGACGAAAGAUAGGAAACCAAGUGGAGAACGUAUAAUCUGAAAACCUACCAAAAAUAUCUGAAACACCUACAUAGGAAUCUCUACGAAGGCACGGAAUCGUGACAAAGAACGAACAGAAGAAAUCAAAGGAAAAACGACGUAUAAUGUAGAAGAGAGCCAAAAAUAUUUGAAACACCUACGAGUACCCACGGAAGCACAGAAGCUGGAUGACGAAGUACAAACAAAGGGAAUAGAGACCAAUCAGACAUAUUUGGAACACCUACGAAUCUCUAAGAGUGCGCAGGAUCGCGAAGACGAAGAAUGGAAGAAAGAACGGCGAGAAGAAGGAGAAAAGAUGGUGUCUAGAGACCCAUCAGACAUAUUUGGAACACCUACGAACGUUUCUAUGAACGCACAGGGUGGAAACCUGAAACACUGGAUACCGGUUUGCAGUAGUCGUUGUUGUUGUUGUUCUAGUUUGUUGUUUGUAUAGAGAAUAGUCGACGUGAGAGAGAAGAGAUAGUGAUGAAGAGACCGAAUAUGCCGAUGUGGCAAGGCUCGAGACGCAACGGCCACAAGGCAAAGGCAAGGCAAGCAAGCAAGGCACAAGCAGGCAGGACUUACCUCUGCUGUUUUUAGAACUCCACUCCCAGAACUGCGCGGGUCGAGCCGAGCCAAAACCAAAAUACCACCGAUAUAGCUUUUCUGCGAUGGUCUUUGUGUGCGCGACCAACCAGCUCUUUCCUUAGGACGUCCAACCGGCUUGCACCGGAGUCGAACGAACUAACCUUACCCUGACACGAGUCUACGACCACGAACAUGGAUGAUGAUGACGAUGAUCGAGACGACCAAGACGAGAGUUCAGACAUUUCGAUGGUGCAUAUAAUAGUUUGAAGAAUUGAAUAAUUCUGUUAUUCGGUUGUUCGAUGAAAGAAACGUUAUCGAACCAAGUAUCGGAAUGUUGGAGGAUAUCGAGGGUGGUUCUGUUCAAAACGACGACCAAGAAUAGAAAAGUUUCCAAGGUGCAUCGAGAGAAACUGUAGUCGUAUUGGAAUAAUUUUUGUUGCUUUGAAAUGUUGGAGGAUGUUCAAGAAUGUCGAAGGCAUAUACGGAAGAGAAGAAAUUUGAAAUUUCCAUUCUUCAGGGGAUUAUCGAGUAUAGUGUUUGGGCUAAAAUAUUCUCAAUGAAUAUAAAUAUUUUAAUGGAUAUUGAUACGAUAUGGAUAUGAGAAAUAUUUCAAUGGAUGAAGUGAUUAUUGUGCAGAAAGAAAAGAAAGUUACCAAUCGUACCACUACCGAUCGCUCGAUAUUUUUUUAAACCGUCUUCCACUUCCUCUUCAACGUCCACCAUUAUUACAGCAGAAUACAUACGUCAGAGAAGUGUCAGCUCAAAAAGCGAGCCAAAUCUUGAAGACCAACUGAUUCAUUGAUGAGAUCAUGCAACUAAAACCAGCACGGUCGUGCCAAAAUACCCGGAAAUUUUCUCUUUUCUUACUUGGAAAAAUCAUAUAUAAUAUAUUAUUAUAUUAGUUACGUGGUCAUCGAAUUAUCGGAAUAUAUCUCCAUUCUACUGUAACUCCUGUCUUCUUAGAAGAAUUGCAAAGCUUCAGAUCAUGAAAGUUUCAGGUCGUCAGAUGCAAACUUCGUUUUCGAGGAAUUCUGAAGCUUUUGGUUUCCAAAUCCAGAAGUAAAAAUUUUACAUCGCCAGAUCUAAGCAAAUUAAUUUGUAUAUUUAGAAAUCCGAAAUGCGGAGUGUGAAGUUUUAGGUCAUUAAAUCUACAGAAAAUUGAAGUUCUAAAACAAUUAACAUUAAAUUGACAUUCACGAUAAA